GUGCUGGCUUCGGCAGUACAUAUAUUAAAAUUGGAACAAUAUUGAGAAGAUUAGCAUGGCAAGGAUGAUACACAAAUUCUUGAAGUGUUCCAUAUUUUU
ensembl:snRNA U6 U6 spliceosomal RNA